AACCACGGCUACCAGCAUGAGCGACGGCGCUUCAGUCGUAAUCGAUGCGCGAGAUGAGGUGUGCAUUGAACCCAGAGAGGGCAAACAGGACCGGUGUGGUGGCAGAAGCUCCAAAUGGAUCUACAUGCCAGGAGAACUGAGGACGCACCCCAAAUGUCUCGUAUAAGAAACCAUGGCCCUCAGUCAUCUGUAAGAUCUCAUCAUUAAGGACCUUUGUAGCGAGGACCCGAUGCCAGGUCCAGUGGACAGACUUCAGACGUCUCUGUGUGUCCGGUCCUGUCCGGUCCUGUCUCUGGUUGCCAGGUUACAGACGCUGCUGCACCCACACGUUUAAAAAUGUCUACACCUGAAACUCCACCACGUCUAAAGAAGCAAAAACGUUUGCAAAUGUACAGACUGGAGUGGGAAGAGUGGAACCACUGGCAAUGGAUACAAGGCAGACUGUGUUUUCUGUUGCUCAUGGACUGGCUGAAGUAAGGCAGCAUCAGGAGACAAACAUGGAGGAAAUAUGAGAACAGAGAGAACCCAACCAGCAGGUCACAGUUUAUCAUCAUCUAAUCAUCUCCUGAAGUCCAUAUGGUCCCUCUCUAUCUCCCCACACAUCCACCAACCACUGGAACACAUCUCCAAAGUUCUGCUGGACCAGCUCAGCUUCCCCUCAGAAGAAGUGCCGCCACCUGCCAGAUGAAGGAGCCUUUUGAGAGGCAGCUGGCAUUGUGAUUGGACUGUACUUUGGUCUGUUCCAAUCCAGCUUCAGCUCCAGAGACGGCAGGCGGGACGAGUCAACGGAGGCCGGAUGGACGAAGGCAUGCAGCUGAGUACAAUCCAGAAAACAACAGAGGAGGAGGGCAGCAGCCCAGAGCCAG
ensembl:lncRNA